rnacentral:tRNA from 2 species
GCGGGUAUAGUUUAGUGGUAAAACCCUAGCCUUCCAAGCUAACGAUGCGGGUUCGAUU